rfam:Gossypium arboreum cultivar AKA8401 contig_7561_7, whole genome shotgun sequence.
UGUUAAAAUUUUUAUCUAUUUUUAUGGUUAGAAACUGGUAUUGUACUUCAGAAUGAAGCACCACACCAGUUUCUAACCAUAAAAAUGGAUGAAAUUUUAACA